CUACGGGAGGCACCAGUGAGGAAUAUUGCACAAUGGGGGGAACCCUGAUGCAGCAACGCCGCGUGGAGGAUGACGCAUUUCGGUGUGUAAACUCCUUUUAUAUGUCAAGAAAAUGACGGUAGCAUAUGAAUAAGCACCGGCUAACUCCGUGCCAGCAGCGCGCGGUAAUACGGAGGGUGCAAGCGUUACUCGGAAUCACUGGGCGUAAAGGACGCGUAGGCGGGUUGGAAAGUCAGGUGUGAAAUCCUACAGCUUAACUGUAGAACUGCACUUGAAACUUCUAAUCUAGAGUAUGGGAGGGGGAGAUGGAAUUAGUGGUGUAGGGGUAGAAUCCGUAGAUAUCACUAGGAAUACCUAAAGCGAAGGCGAUCUCCGGAACAUUACUGACGCUAAGGCGUGAAAGCGUGGGGAGCAAACAGGAUUAGAUACCCCCGUAGUC
rnacentral:rRNA from 1 species